rnacentral:rRNA from 1 species
UCGAGCGGAGAGGGAGCUUGCUCCCGGAUUCAGCGGCGGACGGGUGAGUAACACCUGGGAAUCUGCCUGGUAGUGGGGGAUAACGUCCGGAAACGGGCGCUAAUACCGCGUACGUCCUACGGGAGAAAGCAGGGGAUCUUCGGACCUUGCGCUAUCCCCAUGAGCCCAGGUCGGAUUAGCUAGUAGGUGAGGUAAUGGCUCACCUAGGCGACGAUCCGUAACUGGUCUGAGAGGAUGAUCAGUCACACUGGAACUGAGACACGGUCCAGACUCCUACGGGAGGCAGCAGUGGGGAAUAUUGGACAAUGGGGGCAACCCUGAUCCAGCCAUGCCGCGUGUGUGAAGAAGGUCUUCGGAUUGUAAAGCACUUUAAGUUGGGAGGAAGGGCUUUAGGUUUAUACCCUGAAGUUUUGACGUUACCAACAGAAUAAGCACCGGCUAACUCUGUGCCAGCAGCCGCGGUAAUACAGAGGGUGCAAGCGUUAAUCGGAAUUACUGGGCGUAAAGCGCGCGUAGGUGGUUCAGUAAGAUGGGUGUGAAAUCCCCGGGCUUAACCUGGGAACUGCUUUCAUAACUGCUGAGCUAGAGUACGGUAGAGGGUAGUGGAAUUUCCUGUGUAGCGGUGAAAUGCGUAGAUAUAGGAAGGAACACCAGUGGCGAAGGCGACUACCUGGACUGAUACUGACACUGAGGUGCGAAAGCGUGGGGAGCAAACAGGAUUAGAUACCCUGGUAGUCCACGCCGUAAACGAUGUCAACUAGCCGUUGGAGUCCUUGAGACUUUAGUGGCGCAGCUAAAACACUAAGUUGACCGCCUGGGGAGUACGGUCGCAAGAUUAAAACUCAAAUGAAUUGACGGGGGCUUUCGCACAAGCGGUUUUUCAUGUGGUUUAAUUCGAAGCAACGCGA